AGAGUUUGAUUAUGGCUCAGGAUGAACGCUAGCGGCAGGCUUAACACAUGCAAGUCAGGGGGCAACGCGAGUAGCAAUACUUGGCGGCGACCGGCGCAAGGGUGCGUAACGCGUGAGCAACAUGCCCGUAUCAGGGGGAUAAUCCAGGGAAACUUGGUCUAAUACCCCAUAGUAAUUUUGUAAGGCAUCUUAUAAGAUUUAAAGCUUUGGUGGAUACGGAUUGGCUCGCGUGACAUUAGCUGGAUGGUAAGGUAACGGCUUACCAUGGCUAUGAUGUCUAGGGGUUCUGAGAGGAAGGUCCCCCACACUGGAACUGAGACACGGUCCAGACUCCUACGGGAGGCAGCAGUGAGGAAUAUUGGACAAUGGAUGGAAAUCUGAUCCAGCCAUGCCGCCGUGAAGGAAGAAGGUCCUAUGGAUUGUAAACUUCUUUUGUAUGGGAGCAAUAAGGCCUACGAGUAGGUUGAUGAGAGUACCAUACGAAUAAGCACCGGCUAACUCCGUGCCAGCCGCCGC
rnacentral:rRNA from 1 species